GCAGAGUGAGAGAGGGAAGCAACAAAGUGAUCGAGUGGCCUUUUCCUUGAAGAACUCGAUUUAUUUGAAUUAUUUUGAAGUUAUGGUGGACACUAGAGCUGGACUGGCAGAGAACAGAGAAAGGCCAGAAGAGGUGAAGAAAGCAAACAGGAGAGUGACAGAGCCCAGUCUGAAACACCUCGGGAUAGCUUCUCAGAGAUGGAGAGAACUAAAGGAGUGAAAAUGACUGAAAACAGAUGCUGGGUGGACCCUCUUCCAUGAGACAGAUAAUGUGGCAUCGUGUCUUCCUCCAUGUCAGAGACCAGCUCAGCUGCUCUUUUGGAAGCUGUGAUCAUGGGCCACUUGAUGAGAGCAGCAGAGAUAAGCCAUGGAUGGUGUGAGACUCUCCAUCACAUCAGGCUUGUGCAUCCAUCAUCCUAGAUAAACGCUGGCUGAAGGUUGUGAAGAAGUUUACCAAUUUUCA